GCUGGCGGCACGCCUAACACAUGCAAGUCGAGCGGUAACAUGAUCUAGCUUGCUAGAUUGAUGACGAGCGGCGGACGGGUGAGUAAUGCGUAGGAACAUGUCCUAGAGCGGGGGACAACUCGGGGAAACUCGAGCUAAUACCGCGUAAUCUCUAAGGAGCAAAGGAGGCAGCUUGCUGCUUUCGCUUUAGGGUUGGCCUACGUUGGAUUAGCUAGUUGGUAAGGUAAAGGCUUACCAAGGCGACGAUCCAUAGCUGAUUUGAGAGGAUGAUC
rnacentral:rRNA from 1 species